UGGGGAAUUUUGCACAAUGGGGGAAACCCUGAUGCAGCGACGCCGCGUGAUUUAGAAGGCCUUCGGGUUGUAAAAAUCUUUUCUAUGGGAAGAAAAUGACAGUACCAUAGGAAUAAGGACCGGCUAAUUACGUGCCAGCAGCCGCGGUAAUACGUAAGGUCCGAGCGUUGUCCGGAAUCAUUGGGCGUAAAGGGUACGUAGGCGGGUAAGCAAGUUAGAAGUGAAAUCCUGUAGCUCAACUACAGUAAGCUUUUAAAACUGCUCAUCUUGAGAUAUGGAAGGGAAAGUGGAAUUCCUAGUGUAACGGUGAAAUGCGCAGAUAUUAGGAGGAAUACCGGUGGCGAAGGCGACUUUCUGGCCAUAAUCUGACGCUGAGGUACGAAAGCGUGGGUAGCAAACAGG
rnacentral:rRNA from 1 species